rnacentral:rRNA from 1 species
GACAGAGGGUGCAAACGUUGUUCGGAAUUACUGGGCAUAAAGCGCACGUAGGGGGUCCGCUAAGUCGCGUGUGAAAUCCCCCGGCUCAACCGGGGAAAUGCGCGUGAUACUGGCGGGCUUGAGAUCGGGAGGGGUGAAUGGAACUCCAGGUGGAGCGGUGAAAUGCGUAGAUAUCUGGAGGAACACCGGUGGCGAAAGCGGUUCACUGGCCCGACACUGACACUGAGGUGCGAAAGCUAGGGUAGCAAACGGG